UUUCUAGAUCGCUAACGAUGGCAAGUACAAAUAGUUGUGUCCAAAUUCACAGGCUGCGUCCUCCAAGGCCAGUUCGAGGCUGGGUCCUUCGCAACUAGUGUUGGCUCGAGAAAACCCCCGGGAGUGGGAUCGGACUUCGAGGGGCAUUCUCUCUUGUGGAGGUACGCCCUGUGAACGCACUGUGAUUGAGGAAUAAAGCAGUUAUCCUUCACGUCGUUGUCCAAACUAUUCUUGCUAUCUAAGAACCUGGAGAAUAGUAAGGAUAUAACACAAUGGACUUGGUUCGCACUCGGAAGCGAUACCGGACUGUUCGGGUAGACUGAGGAAAAGCUUUUUCCCCUCUGCCAUCAUCACCCUGAACUCCGCAGCACAACACCCCUGUCAUCCCCCUGAUUUGAUGAGUUCUGAACCCUGCAGCACAACAACCCCACCACAACAACACCUGUAUUACCUGCAUAUACUGUCCAUAUCUGCAUAUAAUUGCUGCAUUCCUAUCCUAUAUAUUUAUUCAUCACUUUUACUCCACUUGUACAUUUCUGUUCAUAUCUGGUUAUACUGACUCUAUGUUGCAUAUUUAUAACCCAAUAUUUAUAAUCAGCAUUCUAGUACCGCCUGCAGAUAUUUGUUCUACUGCACCUUAUUGUAAAUACUUACCUAGUCAUAUCCGUACUCGUCCCUCGUGUAUAUUAUCCCGCAUAGUAUAACUCACCUCAUAUUUACCUGAUUGCACUGUACCUACUGCUCAGUAUUACUUUUUACCCUGCACUUUACUGCUUUUUGCACUUCUGGUUCAAUAUCAAAGUUCUUUUCGCUGUACUGUACUUGUGCCGUACAUUGACAAUAAAUUUGAAUCUAAUCUAAUUUGGUACGAA